rnacentral:lncRNA from 1 species
GAGAGAUAUAAAGUCUCAACAAAUUCUCUUAAAAUCUAAAAAUAUAUAAAUGCCCAUAGAGAAAAUUAAUAUUCAUAUAUAUAUGAUACGCCUAAUAAUAUACAACCUCGCCUAAUAAUACUAAACAUCAUGAGAUGUCUUGUCUUGCUCGGCUUAUACAACACCCUCGUCAUAUAGAAGAAAACAACAUAGACUAUUUUCCUAAUAGAUUAAAUCUAUUUAAAAUCAAUUGUAAGACACUUUAAGAACCCAAAAAGUCACAUUUAACGUAUCGCCCUUCAAUUAUUUGAAAUUCUAAAGAAUAUCAUUACAAAUUGAAUCAAUAAGCACAAUUUAGUUUCAUGUCAGAUCAAUACAAAUUAUGAAUUAAGUUUGGUAAUUUAAAGUCAAUAAUACAAGCGAAAUCGUAAUUUUAUAAAUUUCUCUGACAAGCCAUACUAAAUCUCUCUAUCAAACCCAUAAUUAAUAAACCUUUGAAAUCAACAAGCAAAUUGAUUUUAAUGAUAAUACAUCCAUAAACAAAUAUACAUAAGAAGCAUCCAAUCAUGGAUUAUGGACAAUGUUAGGAAAACCUCAAUUUUUCAGAACUCUUUAGAUCCCAAAAAAUCAAAAAAUA